CCUCUCAUAGCACCAAAAUGUCAGCGGCUUUAGCCUUUUCAAAGCAUUUCCUCCAAGAGCACACGAAGUAAAAAGAAGGCAACUCGCAGUCUUCCUUAGCUAGAUCCAACCUUAUGUCACCUCUGAGGAUGGCGGAAGAGUUACACAAAGCCCCUUUCACUUACCUUUCCUCUGAGCACUUAGCCCUUGAUGACUGACAUUUGUUUGUGUGUGGCCCUGAUCCUCUUCCUCUUUGCACAGAUAUCAAGCACGGAGCUUUGCUAUAGUUGACGUCAGUGGCAUUUUAUCAGCCAAAGAGCAGACAGAAGUGCAGGUACAGCUGACAGAGGAGGCAGGUUGUGCGAGCAAAAAUAUGCAUUUGCUGUUACCAAAAUGGAACUUAUGCUUGUCUCUUUGCAGCUAUAGUCCUUUGAAGCAUUACAGAACCCUGUGAUAACCUAGAUGUUAGAGACGGUAUAAUCACUUAGAGAGUUAAUGUGCAUAAACACAUAUAAAAUGAUUGUUUGCAUUAUUCCUGCACAGUCUUUGUACUGUAUUACUGCAUAAAUCAGAUCUAUUUUACUUUCAUUUGCUAAUCCUUCUACUCUUUUGGGAGCAUCUCAGUGAAUGAAUACACAUUCCAUAUCCUUACAGCCUUAAAAACAAAUGUAUGUUCACAGAUACAUCUUCGAGAAUUUUUUUGCCACAAAGCAUAUUAUUCAAUGUAAUUAUGUAAGAUGCAUGACAAAUCUGAGUGCAAAGGGGCGUGUCAGACAGCAAGUCUUAACAGGAAAACUCAAAGCUUACACAUAGGUCCUGUACUUCUUUGGUGGCAGCUGCAGUCCUCUGAAGGUCAUAAUCCGUCCUGUCUUGCUCCUGCUGGUACCCAAGAGCAUAUGGCAGCCUUUGCAUGGAUGAGACAGUCACAAGUCAUCCCCAUGCAGAAACCAGGAGAAAAAUCAGCAGGAUCAUUUGGAGCAUAUGGAUCCAACGAGGCUUGAAACCUGCCUGAGUGGAGGAGUACGGCAUGCUCAGCUGGUAGCAAACGGCUGUAUUUCUCAGAGAGGAUGAUCCUGCGAAAAGUGGGGUGGAAACUGGUGGCUCCCAGAGGGUUAAGGCUCAUGCUAGCUGGAAGUGAAGGCUACUUUAUAUAGUGAGAGGACAACCCAGAGGGAGUAUGUGAGAUGCUGCCUCAGUAUUAAGCAAUAAUUUAGCAGCCUCCUGUGGGGAAAAAUCCGUGUCACAUUAGGGAGAAGCUGCAUGGCAGACAAGAGAUGUGUUUACAAAUAUUUUUCCUUUGAUUAUUUAGAGACUUCUUGCAAAGCCACAUUGUACUUUGCUUUGGACACCACAGCAGACAAACACCGACUCAAAGGGUUCAUAAAACGCUAAAAGGGGCACGAAGCACACAUGGAAGUUCUUCUUGCAAGGCCAAAAUCCAAUGGCAGAUACAAAGUAUGUACAUAGUUUUCUUUCAUGAUAACAUAGUCCUGUCUGUGUUGGUUAUCAUGCACCCAGAGAGCUGCCUCGCAGGCACGCUGCAUCUUUUUGCCAGCCUUUGACUACAUUUAGCAUGUAGAACUGGUUCUGUACAGGCACACGUUAUAGAGGCACCAGCCCUCACCAUAUAGAACAGUUUGACAGUUCUUACUUGCUGCACUAAGGUCAGCCAUGGCUCUCUGUACAUAUUUGUAUUUCAAUCCUGGCCCAGCAGCCUUGCAGAUGGAUGCAGAGCUCACGUAUGGCAUGGACACCAGCGGUGCUGGGGAGGAGGGACUCUGUGGUGUCCAAAAGUGAUUAGCUUUACUUCCAAAAGGGGAAUUCAGAGAGAAAAUGCAUUGCAGCACUUGGUCCUGGCACUAGCUGUAAUGUAGAUGUCUGUCUGAUGGGCACUGGUCUAAGACCAACAAAAUGCGAUUCAUACAGGCCACUGAGCAGCUUCUCAUGUUAAUGACUUUUGAAUGCCAGUGGCCUGAAUUGCAUCUGUAUUUUAUUAACACUGUUUACAGAGGGAGUAGAAUUCCAGAUGGAGCAUAAAGUACCUUUUUUCUUGUUCUUCCCAUAAUUGCAAAUGCUCAAAUUGCACUUGUAGCUGUUUUAUGACUUGAUAUUGACCUUACACUCUUUGCAUUUUCUACAGCGGAACACUGCAAUUUCUAGGGAGUAGAAAGGUUAUACAGAACUGGUCAAUGCUCUGUGUGAUGCAAAUAAAAAUAAAGUUGUGAGUGUUUAAGCAAGUAUUUCUUUCCAUUUGGCCUUUGAAUUUUUAUUGCUUCCAGCCAGGUCACUUGAAAUGAAAUUGUCCUUCACAGUUCAAGCUAUGGUUGCCUUACAGAUGGCAUAAAGACAGUGCUUUAAGGUCAUUAGAGCCCUGAAGAUGUUAGAGCAGUCCAGAUGAUUUGCAUCUCUAAGGGAAAGGCUUUUAUUUCUGAACUGUUCACCUAAUACUGAUUUGAAAAUGUACCUUUUUCUUCUUCUUCUCAUGAAAACGCCUGUGCCAAGAAUUAGAAAAAGCCUUACUUACAGCCUUGAUGCGUCACCUCUCCAGCAGCUCCCUGACCUGCUGCACUUUGGGUGGCAAUGAUGGCAAAGAAAGAAAGGAGCACUUUGGGCCUCGGAGCUACCAUCGAUCUCAGACAAGGUGAGGGGAAGGAGGCGGGUGCCUCAGCUCCAGAUCCGGGACCAGAUGCACCAUCUGCUUUGUACUGCACUAUCCUGAUGGGAAGACAGCCAUUUCCACUGACAGCUCUGGAGUGGAGGAGACUUUUUCCACUUUCCUGCUUGCUCCUAGUGGGGAAUGCUGUGCAGCCUCCUGGAAGUUGGAAUGCUUAUUGCGUGUGUUACUGAUGCUCCUGCACGUCCCCUGUCAGGUAGGAGUGGUGGUGCCUCUACACCUCAGCUUCCAUCUGCACCUUCCCUUUCAGCAGUGACCUUGGGGUGCGAUGGGAAAGCAUGGAAGUGCAGAUCAAAAACUCUUCAAGAAACGCAGCUAGGAAGCAAGCAGCAUACUGUAGUAUGUGGCUGCUGGAGCUGAGACACGACUGUCCUCUCUGACACGACUGCAGGGAAUCCGCGCAAUGCUUCUCAGAAAUAAUUUGUUUCUGCGCUGGAUCUACUUUUGCACAACGGGGAUACUUGCCUCUAUCAAACCGGUGGUCGAAAUCCGAGGUCGGCGCGUGCAGGAGGAGAGUGAACUUCCCGGGGAUGCCUUUAGAUGUCUCCCUUCCUCGUCUGUUCGGCGAUGACAGCAGGGGCUGGGCUGCCUGCGGGUUGGGCUGCAGAGCAGUCAGAUUGCCUCGGAGGGUAAACGAGGAUUUUUGAAAACCUUCUAAAGCAAAAGUUAAUGGAAAAGAGAGCCUCGUUGCUCACAGAUACGUCAUUACUUUCUCAGGCGUUUAUGAACAAAUAAAAUGCAUCUACUACAUGGGAGAAGAGUUCUUCCCCUGUGCCCCACGCUCCAGCCCUACCCCCAAGCAAUUGUCUUACUUAUUACAAUUUCAACAUCUCUUCUCUUUGAAGUACAACCUGUUGUUUCGUUAUAUUAUUUCCAUUCAUGCUGUGGAAAUAAAACUUACGACAGUGUCGAUUUCUCAGAUCCGCUUGUAGACUUGGAAAUUUGCAUCAGAUUAUUCUAAUCACUUAGCCUUGUUGUAUAUAUUUACACAAGCACUUUUGAUGUUUAAACAGACCAGGCUGUAAUGAGAUAGGCGCGGGGAAAUAAAUACCCCAAAGAAAAGGAAUGUUCUCUUUUUUUCAGGCCGCUUCCUAAACUAGAAAUGUUCAGCUAAAACAGUGGGUCAGUGCCUUUGGGACCUGAGGGAAUGACUCUAAGGGUGGAAGCACGGAGGGAUGGAUCUGCCUUCAGAUGCACUGGGCAGAGAGAAGAGCACCUGGGUGCCUGUGAGGGUGAGGAGCGUGCUGAGGACUUGUCCUUCUGUGCCCUUUGUUACAGCUGUAAGCCGCCUCCUUGGCCAUCCUGGCACAAGAAACUAUCCCACAUGAACCCUAGAUGUCAAUAUGCAUUGACACAAGUUUCUAGAGGCUGAGCAGGAAGAGGAUCAGCUCCACUGAUUUCAGUGGCAACAGUUGCAGAAACAGCAAAAAGUCCUGGGACUGACUGUGGUGCAAUUGUGCUGGCUCAGCUCCAGACAUGCAGGAAGUCCUGCAGCAUUGUGUUCCUGCAGGCAGGAGGCCUGGUAAGCACAGCAGCCACGCAAUCAGGUUAACUCAGUCUUGAGGCCGGCUCCAUUAGAUCAAGAACAACAGGCAAACAGAAGCAGCCCAUACAUAGCAAAUGUAGAAAAAGGUGGAGAAGUAGACCAGGUGAAGGAGAGACAGGAAUCUUAUGGACUGAAGAAGACAAGAAAUCUUACCCUAAGAUGCAGGAAAUUGCCAAUUGUUUCAUUUACAGUUUAGCUUCACAAAGGCCAGGGGAUCGUAUUUACAUUUGCAUGAUAGAACACAAAGAAUACUUGCAAUUCUUGAAAUAGCAGAAAGGGGGAACAUUCUGGAUGACCCUGUUGUUAACGUAGUCUUGAAGUGGAAUCUGGAACAAAUCAGCCAUUACACAAUAAACCACUCAAAAGACUACAAAAAACUGCGUGUCAGCACAGUUUUAAUUUUGUAACGGGAGUUAGUGAAGUUUGUGUGUAAGAACUUAAAGAAAGAAAAAGAGAAGCUUGUUCUGAGAAGAUGCACUUCCAUAAACUCAGUGACAGAUGAGAGCAGACUUUGUAACUCUCACACUGAAAGUGAUCUAUCCACUUAGACAUGCAAAUGUCAUUUUGAAUAAGUCUAACAUUUUGAAUUGUCAACGGUGGGAAGAGGUUUCUCUAAAGGCAAGUUGUAUUCUUCAGUUAUCCUAAGCUUGUAAACCAUGUAGAACCAAGGGGGAAAAAAAAGAACAAAAUUGAAAGAUUCUGCUUUACUAGCAUUUGGUGACUGAAAGAUUCCGCUUUACUAGCAUUUGGUGACUGAAAGAGCUCAUUAAGAUAACAUUUUCCACUUUAUAACCGCUUCACAAGCAAAUAUUCCUGGCAGCACUGCUCCUCUCAUACUUAGGGAUACUUUAAAGAGGAUGGCCAGGACCUUUGCCUGGGCCAGAAGAGAAGCAAGCGCAUGGCCAGUGCUGGCUGGGCAGUCUCUGAGCACAUUCCUCUGCCCUCCAUGGAUGCAGCAGCAGUAACACCCCAGGGCUUUCAUUCUAGCUGACUUGUUUUGUCUUAUUCCUAACUUGCAAGUUAUAUGCCUUGUUGCACCGGUAACUUCAUGAGACUCUGUGACCCACUUGAAGCAUGGUCAGAGACUAAUGGUCCCUCUUCACCUUAAAGGACAUGCACUUGUGAAAUGAUCAGAAGUACCUGGAGAUUCACAACUUUUCUCCUUCACAGAAGUAUCCCAAGACAUAGAUAGCACACACAGUGGGAACCAUGUUAUUUUCCCUCAGCAGCAACUGAUUCAGCAGCACCAUCUUGACCUAUGCCAGCUACUGCUUCAGCUCCUUGCCUGUAGGAGAGAGACAAAUGGACUUUGAUAGCUAUCCAACAUGAGCAGAACUCUCCCAUGGUGGACAGGUUUGGAAUACUCCAGGUCUAACAAAAUGGGAGCUCCUAUCAGUUCCACCCUGAGGUCUCAUGGAUGCCUCGAGUAGCUUUGCAGCUCCAUUGUGACAUUACACCAAUUUUCCAUCAUGACCAGCAUGAUCCUACUUGGAUAUUCCAGGUGGUGCCCUGUCCCUACCUCCUAAGGGAUAGCUCAUGUCUGACAGCAAAAGCAGAUUUCAAUGAUGUUCUUGAUUUAAAUCCAGAAAACAACAUCUUGAUGAACUCAUGCUCCUGGUUAUUAGUAGAGACUACCAGAUUGCUGCACAUCAGGGAGGGGAACUGCAUUUUCCUUCUCAACUUCUUGUAACCUAAAGGAGUAGAAAGACUGCUUUAUGCUUAUGGUCGAUAGGGUGCACGGUGUGCACAGAGAAAUCACACUUCAUCUUGCAAAUUUAUCAUACUAUUAUUCUACAGUUUUUCUACAGCUAAAACCUACAAGUUGCUAAAAUUGCUACCAUUGUUAAAUGCUACUCAGACCUGAAAUACAUCUAUAGUUAUCAAAACUGAGCUGGGAAGCCAAUGGGUAUAAGAGACCUAACUGUGAAUGUCUUGCUCCAGGUUACUUUCUGUAGUUGGUAAUAGAGAGAAAGAAAGAAAGAUUUGCAUUAGCAGUUCUGAUCCAAGCAGGACGUAGUAAAAUUGGGAAUCAUUUUCAUGUAAACACCUAAUUAAGCUUUGAGUUCUAGUUUAGUUUUGGAAGCAAGUUCUGAAGUACUUAUAACAAGGAUUAAAAGAUGUAACAAAGGGACAAGAGUCUUGAAACAGCUCCUGAAGUCAGGGUUGCUCACCUUUCUGCUUCCUGAUUAAGGCAAAGAUAACAUCUGCAAUAAACUGGAGUGAACUGAUUGAUUUGCUUGAGAAGUUUCCAAAAGCAUAAGUACCUUUUCCUGAAGCAACCUAUCGUGACAAAAAAAAAUCCCUUUCCUCUUAAAAAAAAAAAAUCACAUACAAAAUAUGCACAUUUCAGCACUUUUCCUCCCUGAGGCUUUCUCAGUCUAGGAAAAAAAAGAGAUGUUUUUUUCCAAUUGCCUGUAAAAGGUUUGCAUCUCUGCCAGGUGGUUUGCAUCUGACAGUCAAAUACUGCUGAUGAGAAUCAUCAGUUCCUUCAAGGACUUGACAUUGCAUCCAAUUUGUUUCGCAAGUGAGUGUGUAAGGAAGUGACUGCAGCUAUUAUUCUGUUAGAUUUAGCCAAAACAUCCCCAGAAGAGGUAGGAGGGCAUGCUGGGAAUUGUUUGAUGAGCCUGCUGGGAGAAUAAUUACAUGGCCAGCAGUUUGUUCACUUUAUCUUCUGUAGCACUUUCUUAGUGCCUUUUGUGUGGUUUGAGUACUCGGCUUUUUGAAUGAAAGAAUAUUUACUGCUAUUGUCUCUCCAGCUAAUUCCCAGAUUAUGCUGUCUCAGAUGUGCAUUCUGGGAUAAUUCUGUGUUACAUUAAGUAUUAUGAAAUUUAAAUAUUUUCUUCAAUAUUCUCUUCCUUACUCGAGAUGGAAUUUUCUGCACCAUAACUGUGACUGAACUGGGAAGAGUUGCCCUCUGAUUAUGAUGCUUACACAGACCAUAGGACCAAUUCUGCUGUAAUCUUGCUGCUCUGAGCAGGACGAAUGUCAAAACUUGCAACUUCAAGACAAUUUUUUGGGGUUAAAAUGGCACAUAUAAACGUUGAUUUUGUUUUUAAUGUAACGUCUUACAGCUUAAAGCUUUCAAGAGUAGCCUAGGUAGCAGGGAAACAAAGAUCUGUUAGAGUUUCAGUUUGUUUCAGCAGCUUUUGAAAAAAAUAAAUGGGUAUGAGCCCCUGGAAGACAGCAUGUGGAAGUAUUACCAAAAUAUUAAUUCUGAGGUGACAGGAAAAUCGAAAGCUAUGAAAGGAAUCACAUUUAAAACUGGAAACUGUGCUUAUUCAGCUGACUACAAGGGGGUCCAUGACAGCUGUGGGCGCCUUCUAUAAGGCAGGGAUGCAAUAAAAAAGGUGGUAAUAGCAAACCUCAUCCAGCAAUCCACCUUCCAAGAGCAGUCUGACUGCUCCUCUCUAGACCAGUUCUCUUCUCAGCUGCUGUUCCUGAUCCAGCAGACCUGUGUGUGUGUAUCCUAAGCCAUCAGUCUCACAUCUCUCUGGUGGGUGCAGUAUGUGUGCUUUUUGGCACUCCAGGAGGAAAUACAUGGCUGCACAUCCCUUGUUUUAAAUAAAUUGAAGUGAAUACAAAAGAAGGAGAAGAGAAAAGUAAAGGAUGUAAAAAUUACCAUACCAGAGCCUUUUGCUGCUAGAAAUAUGGAUAAAAAAUAUUGCUUGUGACUCCAGUGAAAUGAGCCUGCUCUUAGAGAGCCUUCUACAAUCUAUCUUGUUUGUGCACUUUAGACUUCAGAAGAACUAACCUUAUUGGAAUAGAGUUGGAAACAUUGGAUCAUUGGCCAAAGCUUUAAAGAAAAUGUUUCCUUGCUACAGAAAGAACAUUAGCAUUCUCACAAAGAAGGUUCCAUAGAAACAAGAAAUACAUUUUUACAGCAAAACUCCCUUUGAUGUGAAUCUUGAGCAAAGCACAAAAAAAGGGCCAGUGGGAUUCUAUUUCCUUCUGUGUACGCUUUUGCAAUUCUUUUUUUUUUUUUUUUUUUUGCUAAUGGGCCACCUGGGAUAUUGUCUUUCUGGUGACUGAACUAAGGCACCUUAGCAGGGUGGGAGGGAUACAAAGGAUUCCUCAAAGGAACGCACUUGCUCUAAGCAGCUUCUCAGAGGGAAAUAUUUCUGUGUCUUUUACCCAUCUUUUCGGUUUCUUCACAAUGUCUCCUUCACCUUACAGUUGCACAGCAGAAGUGCAACUUGAAUUACCAGCCAGCAUCAGCUCCAGCAGUCUGCUCCUGACAGAAGAUAAUGCUGGAGAAAAAAAAUCAAGAAAUUACCUUACUGGCAACAAAGAAAUGUCAGGUUUAAAAGAAAACUGUUACACAGAGAAAUCACUUAAACUGUGAGGAAAUUGAUAAAAGAAAAAUGUCUACUGAGGAAGAACGAGGACCUUAUAAUGUGACACGCUCAGAAAGCUCUUUCUUCAAACAAGGAGCAAAAAAGCUACAUUGCACUGAUUGGAAAAAACAAAUCUUAUUUUCCAUGUCUGUGCCCUGAACAAAAAAAGAAGUAGAUGAAAGGAUGGUGUUGUAACAGAUCAGGCUUCAUACCACAUCAGAGUUUAUCAAGAAAAUGACAUACAGACAUAAUAGUUGCAGGAUAGCAACUCAUAGGUCAAGAAAAAACAGAAAGGUAAUUUCAUUUGCUCCAGAUCUCCAGAAAGUCUUUAAGAAUUGGUAAGAACCUGGUGGCAGCAAACCACCAGACAUACUUGUUUGUCAAGGAACAAAGCUCUCAUAAUAUGAUGGGCAAUGUCACAAAAAAGCAUGAAAUUCUUAUGUAGAAUGAAUUAGUCUUCAAAAGAGGCAGGCAUCUGAUCAAACAUCUAAUUGUUAAUCAGUUGUCGAGCAAUUUCACUACUCCUACUAAAUUCAAAAUCAUAUUAUGACUAAUUUCAGCCACAUACCAUCUGCAAAGCAGCCUGAAUACUUUGCUUACAUUCUGGCCUGUACACUAACAACAGAUAAUUAUUAAACGGCGUAAUGACCUGCUAAGAAUACUGUGGAAAACCCGCUGUAGUACUGGUUUAUUGGAAUUCAUUAGAGAAUGAUGUUUGAAAUCAGCUGCGUUACUAACACUAGCCAAAUAUCUGGUUUUAUGUGUGGGCUUAUCUCUCCAUAAUCACUCCCACAUGGACUAAAGUUUGUGUUUAGUUCUGACAGUAGAAGUAAAAGAGAAGCUAUCACUGGUAAUAACAAUUCUAGUCACGUACUGGACCAGGUUCAUUCCUGAAAUAAUUCUAGUCAAAGGUGUUCAGACUACUAUAUGCAUUAAUUUAAUCUACUAGAUUUGCCCAUUGCAUGCUAUCUUGGGUCAUCCUUAUAUUCUCACUAACCAGCAAUGGAUGUAACACACUGUUAGGAAAACACUUGCUUAUAGCAGUGACGUCACCCCAAAGUGAAAACAGAUGCUAACUAAAUUCUAAUAUGCGCAAGAAAGUGUGUUGGCAGCUGCAACAAAUAUCACAGUAACUGUGGAAUUCUCAUAUUGCAAUGUCUGACAAUACAAAGCAUAAGAAGCAACUAGAAAUCUAAAAGAAAACUGAAGGUGCCACCCCUAAAGAGGAAAUCUACAGAACAACAUUCUACAAUCUACAUCAAAUCUACAACAUCAUUAAAAAAAACAACACAGAAAAAUGUAUAGAAAAUUCCACCAGGUACCUCAUAUCACCACUUUUUCUCAUAUGCAGUGAGAAAAAUACUCACACCUCACCUCAUCCAUCUGAAUAGAGCUCAGUAAGAACUCUGAUCUGAAGGAUGAAUGAACCUUUGAACAAGUCAAGUCAUUUGAGAAAUGCAGAGAAACUUACCAUGAUGCAAAAGAUCAAGUGUCACUGCAUGCACAUCUCUCAUUGCCCUAUUGUACCCUAAACUAAAAAUUUAGUGUGAAAAAUCUUAGAGUUACAGUCUAAGCUAGAAAGAAACAUCAUAUUGUGCAAGAAUUUUGCCCAGAAACUCCACUCAUUGCUCUUAAGUAAAGUUUAGAGACUUGGCUGUCCUGAUUGCCAACAGCAAAUUUUCUUUAGGAUAUCAUACAUCAGACCAUUUUGAGGCAAAACCACUUCCAGUUUGUCAACAAAUUUCCUGCAGUAAAGGCUACAGAGGAAUCAAAUUGUUAUGCAAGUCAUCCCAUGCAUCAAAUGUCCUUAUAACAAUUACCUC
ensembl:lncRNA